CCCCACGAGAACCUGACGGACGCUGGAGACCCCAGGUGGGGCCCCCUCGGCCCUGCUCACGGCCCAGUGUCUGCUGGGAUGGCUCAGGGGUGGUCGUGCUCAGGGGCUCCGACAGGACGGGAGGUGAAAUGGGCCAGGGUGGCAGAGGGGACAGCAGAGAGGGGAGCCCGGGGACAGCAGGGGGACGGCCAGGGGGCAGGGGGAGGCCGGCUGGACGCUGGGCAGUCAGGCCCUGGGGAGGCGGGGGGACCUCAGCGGGACGGUCACGGGGCACCCGGGCCACGCUGACAGCUCUCGGGCUGGUCCAUCGAGGAGGGGGGCAGGUCACCCCCUGGGGGCGCCGAGGGGUCCCCGCCCAGCCCACCACCGGCAAACACCCUCCUCAGACCCCCCAGACGCCGCCCCCGCCCGCCCUCAGGCCGCUGGCAGCCCCUGCCCUCCCCGGGGGAGCCCUGCCCUCCCCAGGACGCUGGGUGCAGACGGGGUGUGUGUGUGUGUGUGUGUGUGUGUGGGGCCGGGGCCUCAGGGCUCUGCGUCUCCUGCCUUCCAGGGACAGGGAGCUGCCCGACCCCAGCCCCCGCGAGGCCAAGAAACUCCGCCAGGAGACCCGGCGCGCGGACAAAUGGAUAAAAAUGCUCAAGCGAUGGGACCACUACCUCCCCAGCGAGAAGGUGGGGCGCUGGGUGCCCCCGAGGGCUCUCCGUCCUGACGGGGCUGGGGGGCCGCCCUCAGUGUCCUCCUGCCCCGUCCUCGGGGGAGCCCCCUGCCUGGGGAGAGUCUGCUGGGAGCCCGGGCCUCCCUCCCCAGGCCCCGGGACGGCGGUGGGGGAGCGUCAGGUCGGGGCCAGGGUCCCUGCUCCUCGCGGGGGACGGGGGUGGGGGGGGGCCCAGAUCCAGGGAGACCCAGCCUCUCUGCAGACACCCUGGAGCCGACGCCGGAACCUUCUAGAUGCCUCGUGUUCCCUGGGCUCCAAGGGGCCGCCCUGGGCCCCUCUCACCAGCACUGCCUUCCUCCCCGCAGCUGCGACGCUGGGUCUACAAGGGGGUCCCGCCCCAGGUGCGGGGACAGGUGUAGCUGCGAUUGCUGAACGUCGACCAGGUUAAGGCCAGGAAUGCCGGGAAAUACCAGGUGGGACCCGACCCGUCCACUCCCGGUGGACCCUUGGUCCCCUCCCUGCCCAGGGCUGACCCUCCAUGUCCCCUCCCCACCUGGGCUGAACUCCCGUNAUGUCCCCUCCCCACCGGGGCUGAACUCCCGUGUCCCCUCCCCACCUGGGCUGAUCCUCCAUGUCCCCUCCUUGUCCAGGGAUGACCCCCUGUCCCCUCCCCUCCAGGAUGAACCCCCAUGUUCCCACCCCACCCGGGCUGAACCCCCAUGUCUCCUCCCCACCCGGGUUGAUCCUCUAUGUCCCCUCCCUGUCCAGGGCUGACCCUCAGUCCCCUCCCCGCCCACGACAGCUGGGCACAGGCCCUCACGCAGGCCCCGCGGGCACGGUGGCACUCCUGCCGUCCCCGGCCUCCCAGGGGAAAGGUGGAGGUUCCUGCAGGACACACUCCCAUGGUGGCCCCAGGGCCCCCUGCCCAGGACGGCAGCUGCUGACAGGUCGGGGUCUGUGUCCCUGACGCCGGNGGUGGCCCCAGCCCCCUGCCCAGGACGGCAGCUGCUGACAGGUCAGGGUCUGUGUCCCUGACGCCGGCUUCUCCUCCCCGGGUCUCCCCGCGCGAAAUGAAGGAGGCGGCCCUGGUCUCCUCCCGGGACAUCGUGCAGAUCGACCUGGACGUCAACCGCAC
ensembl:lncRNA